rnacentral:sRNA from 1 species
CAGAGUGAGACUUUGACUCAGAAAAAAAAAAAAAAAAAAAGAAAGCAUGGGUCAUUUGUUUCUGUGCACUAUGCUCCCAGCCACUGUUUUGCCAGCCUUGUCGUGCCCGUUCUCUUGGUGUUACCACACCCCUGAAAUCAGAAGGUGACACCAUCUGGCGGGCACCACAGCUCCCUGCUGGAACAUGUCCGGGUGAUGAGGACUGUCCCCAAGAGAGGUCCAGCCACCUCUUGCUGCACACCAGAGCUGUACGUGGCCUCUCAGGACUGUGCUGAGCUGGCUUCCGUCCCUGCUUUGACACCUGUGGUUAACAUGUCCCUGGGAUCCCUGGGGAACAGGCGAGAUGCCCCCACAUCCCCUCCAUGCUUCUCAGCAUGGUUGCCGCUUACCUCUUGGUCCAUCUGAGCCACAGCACCAGGCCCUGCUGGGGGCUGGAGCUCCCUUUUACCAGUGUUCCCUAUUGAUCCAGUUGGUGAGGUUUAAUUUGCAGAGGAAGUGUUUGAAAAUCUUAUCUUUAUCUUUCAGAAAAGUCAAGUACUUUAACAUCAAAGCCAGCUUUGUUGACGAGCACACGGUUUGCGGCGUUGCCAAAGGUGGGAAAGAGAUUCUGCUGUCAGCCGAUCACAUCAUCAUUGCUACUGGAGGGCGGCCAAGAUACCCCACGCACAUCGAAGGUGCCUUGGAAUAUGGAAUCACAAGUGAUGACAUCUUCUGGCUGAAGGAAUCCCCUGGAAAAACGUUGGUGGUCGGGGCCAGCUAUGUGGCCCUGGAGUGUGCUGGCUUCCUCACCGGGAUUGGGCUGGACACCACCAUCAUGAUGCGCAGCAUCCCCCUCCGCGGCUUCGACCAGCAAAUGUCCUCCAUGGUCAUAGAGCACAUGGCAUCUCAUGGCACCCGGUUCCUGAGGGGCUGUGCCCCCUCGCGGGUCAGGAGGCUCCCUGAUGGCCAGCUGCAGGUCACCUGGGAGGACUGCACCACCGGCAAGGAGGACACGGGCACCUUUGACACCGUCCUGUGGGCCAUAGGUCGAGUCCCAGACACCAGGAGUCUGAAUUUGGAGAAGGCUGGGGUAGAUACUAGCCCCGACACUCAGAAGAUCCUGGUGGACUCCCGGGAAGCCACCUCUGUGCCCCACAUCUACGCCGUUGGUGACGUGGUGGAGGGGCGGCCUGAGCUGACACCCACAGCGAUCAUGGCCGGGAGGCUCCUGGUGCAGCGGCUCUUCGGCGGGUCCUCAGAUCUGAUGGACUACGACAAUGUUCCCACGACCGUCUUCACCCCGCUGGAGUAUGGCUGUGUGGGGCUGUCCGAGGAGGAGGCAGUGGCUCACCACGGGCAGGAGCAUGUUGAGGUCUAUCACGCCCAUUAUAAACCACUGGAGUUCACGGUGGCUGGACGAGAUGCAUCCCAGUGUUAUGUAAAGAUGGUGUGCCUGAGGGAGCCCCCACAGCUGGUGCUGGGCCUGCAUUUCCUUGGCCCCAACGCAGGCGAAGUUACUCAAGGAUUUGCUCUGGGGAUCAAGUGUGGGGCCUCCUAUGCGCAGGUGAUGCGGACCGUGGGUAUCCAUCCCACAUGCUCUGAGGAGGUAGUCAAGCUGCGCAUCUCCAAGCGCUCAGGCCUGGACCCCACGGUGACAGGCUGCUGAGGGUAAGCGCCAUCCCUGCAGGCCAGGGCACACGGUGCGCCCGCCGCCAGCUCCUCGGAGGCCAGACCCAGGAUGGCUGCAGGCCAGGUUUGGGGGGCCUCAACCCUCUCCUGGAGCGCCUGUGAGAUGGUCAGCGUGGAGCGCAAGUGCUGGACAGGUGGCCCGUGUGCCCCACAGGGAUGGCUCAGGGGACUGUCCACCUCACCCCUGCACCUCUCAGCCUCUGCCGCCGGACACCCCCCCAGGCUCCUGGUGCCAGAUGAUGACGACCUGGGUGGAAACCUACCCUGUGGGCACCCAUGUCCGAGCCCCCUGGCAUUUCUGCAUUGCAAAUAAAGAGGGUACUUUUUCUGAAGUGU